rnacentral:lncRNA from 1 species
UUAUUGUAAGAUAUUGUUUAUUGUAAAACUCUUGUGUUCCUUCCGUACAUACUAAAACAAAAGGUCACUUUAAAGGCACAUUAUGUUGUAGUCAAGAAUAAAAGAAUACAAUGUUGUGAAAUGUCAUACUGUAUGAUGGGCCCUGUCUUGCUGUGCCUUCUUUAUAUCAAUUUAAAAUAUACACAUUAGAUACAAAGCAAGUGGCAGAACAUUUAGUUGGACCCUACUUAUGCAAAAAUUGUAUUUUUUUAUAUGCACAGAGAGUUUCUGGAAGGACAGAAAAUAAUCUACUGAUAAUGAUUCUAUCUAAGGUCAAGAUUCUUUUACUUUUUCUUGUUUUUUGAGACAGAGUUUCACUGUUGUUGCCCUGGCUGGAGUUCGAUGGCGCAAUCUCGGCUCACCGCAAACUCCGCUUCCCGGGCAACAAGAGUGAAACUCUGUCUCAAAAACAAAAAAACAAAAAACAAAACAAAAAAAACCACAUUAUGACACCUACAGGCUAAUUCAUGUAGAGAACCAGGAUCUCUUCACGGGUAAUACCAUGAAGAAUUACCUCCAAGUAUUCCCAGGGUUAUUCCAUAAAUGUGGGGGUUUGAGCUACAGCAUUUUUACUAAAAUGAGGUAACUCAGUGGAGCUCAAUCCAGAAGAAACUUCUGACUCAGAGGUUCUAGCCACAUUUAGUAUCUGGAUGUAUCUACGCUGCUACACCCAACUCUGCUCAGUGUUUUUCCUUCACUGAGUC